rnacentral:lncRNA from 1 species
UGAACUCGGUUCCUCUCUGAACCUAAAACUCGUCAUUGUUUCCUCUCUAAACUUGAGACUUGUCGUUGAACCGAAGUCCUAACUCCUUGAUGUACCAAAGUCCUACCUACCUCCGAUAUACGUGAUGCAUGAAUGCACCCAAAAAAUGCAACAAAUCGUAUCAAACCUCCAACUCCAAUACUCGUCACUGGUUCCUCUCUAAGCCUAAACUCAA